CGGCCUUUGGUGCAGCUGUAAGUCGGAUGGAAUCCACCUUCCUGACGUCAGACCCACCCACUGGAACACUGCUCCUCUGACUGGGGCUUCCCUGAGUGGAAACUACAUGUCAUACUUCAAAAACAACUUCUGAAGGAGAAAAAAGUCUUUGCUUCAGUUUCUGCUCUCCAGAGGUAACCCAAAGGUAAAAGGUAAGGAACCCAGUAAGAAAGACAGAGAGAAGUAUGGACAAAAAACAGAUCCUAAACCUGUUUUGUUUUAUUUUUGGUAGUAGUUGUUUAUUUUUGAAAACAUUCAAACCACCUGUAUUGGUGGCUAUUAUUAUGAAAUAAAUAAACUGAGAAACAACAAGACAAUUUGGCCUCUACAAUUCGUUUAGUUUUGACUAUAUAUUUGCCUUGGAAGAAGUAUGUGUACAAUAUUCAUUUUAAAAGAUACAACAGUCACCUCGUUACUUGGAGUUUUACUUGAGGCUUGAAUGAGACUGAAACCACCUGGACACCACUAGAAGAUAUAUCAAGGAAAAGAAAGGCAACAUAUUGAAUCUCUUGGGAGAAACUCAUCCUGUAUCUGCUCGAUUGAAAACAUGAGGGUGCACAUUCCAAGCUGCAUAUGCUCAGGUCCGAGUUUCCAAGGAAACAAAGGACUGCUCAUUUAUCUGCAAAACUGAACUGACGAGUCAGUUUC
rnacentral:lncRNA from 1 species